rnacentral:rRNA from 1 species
CCUACGGGUGGCAGCAGUGGGGGAUAUUGCACAAUGGGGGAAACCCUGAUGCAGCAACGCCGCGUGAGUGAAGAAGUUUUUCGGAACGUAAAGCUCUGUCGUCAGAGAAGAAAAUGACGGUAACUGACGAUGAAGGUCCCGACAACUACGGGCCAGCAGCCGCGGUAAUACGUAGGGGGCAAGCGUUGUCCGGAUUUACUGGGUGUAAAGGGAGCGUAGGCGGGUGUGCAAGUCAGGAGUGAAAUCCCUGGGCUUAACCCGGGGACUGCUUUUGAAACUGGACGGCUUGAGUGCAGGAGAGGCAGGCGGAAUUCCGGGUGUAGCGGUGAAAUGCGUAGAUAUCAGGAGGAACACCAGUGGCGAAGGCGGCCUGCUGGACUGUAACUGACGCUGAGGCUCGAAAGCGUGGGUAGCAAACAGGAUUAGAUACCCUUGUAGUC